ACGAGUGGCGGACGGGUGAGUAACGCGUAGGAAUCUGCCCAGUAGUGGGGGGACAACCCGGAGAAAUCCGGGCUAAUACCGCAUACGCCCUACGGGGGAAAGGAGGGGAUCUCUUCGGAGACCUUUCGCUAUUGGAUGAGCCUGCGUCGGAUUAGCUAGUUGGUAGGGUAACGGCCUACCAAGGCGACGAUCCGUAGCUGGUCUGAGAGGACGAUCAGCCACACUGGGACUGAGACACGGCCCAG
rnacentral:rRNA from 1 species